AUUUUGGCAGGAUACAUUAUCUUACCAUGUACAACUUGACAAGAUAUUCAGGACUUUGUAUACUCUUCACCCUUAUCAAUCCAUCAGAUGGGCUGUACUGUUUGUCGUGCCCUAAGAGUGUUUCCCCUAGACAUUGCCACGAAGUAAAAAAAAUGCAGCGGCGAAGAAGUAUGCUUCACGGAGAGCCAUUAUUCAUUGAACGGAAAUGUUGUCUUUGAGACUGGAUGUAUAAGCAAAGACUCUGAGUUAUGUUAUUCAAAACGUGAUAAUGGAAGUGAUAGUCAACACCUACAGAGGGCCAUCGACCCCCAUUAUCCACACCAUUUAUGUUUAGAUUGCUGCUCCUCAGAUCUCUGUAACCAGAAAGGCUGCGGACAGAAAGGUUUUCCAUUAAACCGGUCAGUUUGUUUUAACUGUAAAGAUGUUGCUAACCCAUCACUUUGUGAUACGAUCACAGUUUGCUACUCAGAUCAGGUAUGCUAUGUCCAGCAAACAUAUGAGUACAAUGACAUUAUCUUUACAUCUGGCUGUAUCAACAAACAGUCUUGUCCACCACACAUUGACAUUUUUGGGAAGAGAAAUGCUGAAUAUUGUUCCAAGUGCUGUCCGUCGGAUUUAUGCAAUGCCAAUUGUGAUGCCGAGCCGUCUUUAUCAACAACCCCUUCUACCACUGUGAAAACAACAACUCAGUCAGGGUCAACUGCAGCUCCACAACCCAAAGGCAGAUAAUUAUCAUAUACAUGAAUAAAAAAAAUUACGCGUUG